rnacentral:rRNA from 1 species
GCGGCGUGCCUAAUACAUGCAAGUCGAGCGAAUGGAUUGAGAGCUUGCUCUCAAGAAGUUAGCGGCGGACGGGUGAGUAACACGUGGGUAACCUGCCCAUAAGACUGGGAUAACUCCGGGAAACCGGGGCUAAUACCGGAUAACAUUUUGAACUGCAUGGUUCGAAAUUGAAAGGCGGCUUCGGCUGUCACUUAUGGAUGGACCCGCGUCGCAUUAGCUAGUUGGUGAGGUAACGGCUCACCAAGGCAACGAUGCGUAGCCGACCUGAGAGGGUGAUCGGCCACACUGGGACUGAGACACGGCCCAGACUCCUACGGGAGGCAGCAGUAGGGAAUCUUCCGCAAUGGACGAAAGUCUGACGGAGCAACGCCGCGUGAGUGAUGAAGGCUU